UACAGAGGCCCCAAGCGUUACUGAGAAUCACUGGGUUUAAAGGGUGCGUAGGUGGCGCGUUAAGUCCGUUGUGAAAGCCCUGGGCUCAACCCAGGAACUGCUUCGGAUACUGGCGCGCUUGAGGCUAGUAGGGGUCACUGGAACUGACGGUGGAGCGGUGAAAUGCGUGGAUAUCGUCAGGAACGCCAAUGGUGAAGGCAGGUGACUGGGCUAGUUCUGACACUGAGGCACGAAAGCGUGGGGAGCGAACGGG
rnacentral:rRNA from 1 species